rnacentral:rRNA from 1 species
AGCAGUAGCCACGGUAAUACAGAGGGUGCGAGCGUUAAUCGGAUUUACUGGGCGUAAAGCGUGCGUAGGCGGCUUCUUAAGUCGGAUGUGAAAUCCCUGAGCUUAACUUAGGAAUUGCAUUCGAUACUGGGAAGCUAGAGUAUGGGAGAGGAUGGUAGAAUUCCAGGUGUAGCGGUGAAAUGCGUAGAGAUCUGGAGGAAUACCGAUGGCGAAGGCAGCCAUCUGGCCUAAUACUGACGCUGAGGUACGAAAGCAUGGGGAGCAAACAGGAUUAGAUACCCCAGUAGUUCCUGUCUCUUAUAC